rnacentral:rRNA from 1 species
GAUGAGCAUGCGUCCCAUUAGCUAGUUGGUAAGGUAACGGCUUACCAAGGCAGCGAUGGGUAGGGGUCCUGAGAGGGAGAUCCCCCACACUGGUACUGAGACACGGACCAGACUCCUACGGGAGGCAGCAGUGAGGAAUAUUGGUCAAUGGGCGCAAGCCUGAACCAGCCAUGCCGCGUGCAGGAUGAAGCACCUAUGGUGUGUAAACUGCUUUUGUACGAGAAGAAACACUCCUACGUGUAGGAGCUUGACGGUAUCGUAAGAAUAAGGACCGGCUAACUCCGUGCCAGCAGCCGCGGUAAUACGGAGGGUCCAAGCGUUAUCCGGAAUCAUUGGGUUUAAAGGGUCCGUAGGCGGUUUUGUAAGUCAGUGGUGAAAGCCCAUCGCUCAACGGUGGAACGGCCAUUGAUACUGCAAGACUUGAAUUAUUGGGAAGUAACUAGAAUAUGUAGUGUAGCGGUGAGAUGCUUAGAGAUUACAUGGAAUACCAAUUGCGAAGGCAGGUUACUACCAAUAUAUUGACGCUGAUGGACGAAAGCGUGGGGAGCGAACAGGAUUAGAUACCCUGGUAG